rnacentral:rRNA from 1 species
GACGAACGCUGGCGGCGUGCUUAACACAUGCAAGUCGAACGGGAUUUAGUAAACAGAAACCUCGGUGGAAGAUUACUAAUGAGAGUGGCGAACGGGUGAGUAACGCGUGAGCAACCUGCCUAUGACAGUGGGAUAGCCUCGGGAAACCGGGAUUAAUACCGCAUAAAAUCGUAGAAACACAUGUUUUAACGGUCAAAGAUUUAUCGGUCAUAGAUGGGCUCGCGUCUGAUUAGCUAGUUGGUGAGAUAACAGCCCACCAAGGCGACGAUCAGUAGCCGGUCUGAGAGGAGGAACGGCAACAUUGGAACUGAGACACGGUCCAAACUCCUACGGGAGGAAGCAGUGGGGAAUAUUGCACAAUGGGGGAAACCCUGAUGCAGCGACGCCGCGUAAACGAAGAAGGUAUUCGUAUCGUAAAGUUCUGUCCUAUGGGAAGAUAAUGACAGUACCAUAGAAGAAAGCUCCGGCUAAAUACGUG